GAAAUGCGAUAAGUAAUGUGAAUUGCAGAAUUCAGUGAAUCAUCUAAUCUUUGAACGCACCUUGCGCUCCUUGGUAUUCCUUGGAGCAUGUCUGUUUGAGUAUCCUGAAAUCUUCAAAGUAAAUCUUUUGUUAACUCAAUUGGUUUCUACUUUGGUAUUGGAGGUCUUUGCAGCUUCACACCUGCUCCUCUUUGUUCAUUAGCUGGAUCUCAGUGUUAUGCUUGGUUCCACUCGGCGUGAUAAGUUAUCUAUCGCUGAGGACACUGUAAAAGGUGGCCAAGGUAAAUGCAGAUGAACCGCUUCUAAUAGUCCAUUGACUUGGACAAUACUUUUAUGAUCUGAUCUCAAAUCAGGUAGGACUACCCGCUGAACUUAAGC
rnacentral:misc_RNA from 1 species